GGGGGCGCAAUGGUUUCGACGGGGAGUUUGAGGCAGGAUAAGCGGGUGGAAGCGUGAGACUUCCUUAAAACUCACACCCUAAAUUUAAUCGCGAACAACGAACUCGCGGCAGCGUAAGCUGCGCCGCUGCCUGAGGGCAGCCCGUCCGCCGGAGAAGGACCACGGUCUCCGACCGGGCGUCAUUUCGUGGUAAAUGUGCACCGCCCGUCGCGCUUGAAGCGGUCAUAAAGAAAAGCGCUGCCCCGCCCGCGCCCCGUAUGCCGGGACGCUGACGGGAAAGCUCAAACGGCAUACUGCACCCGGAGAAAUUCCUGUCAAGAGCUUUUCGGACGGGGGUUCGAUUCCCCCCGCCUCCACCA
rnacentral:tmRNA from 1 species